ACGGGUUAGAACCUGACCUGAGAGGUUGCUACCUUUAGCUUAACUUCAGCAUGUCCAGCAAUCCCAACAUGCACCUGUACAUCAGUUCGAGGAGCCCUGUGUUAUAACCUCGGGGGUCUGCUCAAGCCCUUCACCAUCAAUCUGUAUCAGCGCAAUUUGGUGAACAGACAGCCACACAGUGAGAACAUUACGAGAAUAGAGAGAGAAACCGGUGUCCAGGUGCCAGGGGUCAGUGUUAGUGGACAUCGGUGAGACGGUUAGGGGGGAUGCUCCACAGUUGGACUCGACCA